rnacentral:rRNA from 1 species
GAUGAACGCUGGCGGCGUGCCUAAUACAUGCAAGUCGAGCGAACGGACGAGAAGCUUGCUUCUCUGAUGUUAGCGGCGGACGGGUGAGUAACACGUGGAUAACCUACCUAUAAGACUGGGAUAACUUCGGGAAACCGUAGCUAAUACCUGAUAAUAUUUUGAACCGCAUGGUUCAAAAGUGAAAGACGGUCUUGCUGUCACUUAUAGAUGGAUCCGCGCUGCAUUAGCUAGUUGGUAAGGUAACGGCUUACCAAGGCAACGAUGCAUAGCCGACCUGAGAGGGUGAUCGGCCACACUGGAACUGAGACACGGUCCAGACUCCUACGGGAGGCAGCAGUAGGGAAUCUUCCGCAAUGGGCGAAAGCCUGACGGAGCAACGCCGCGUGAGUGAUGAAGGUCUUCGGAUCGUAAAACUCUGUUAUUAGGGAAGAACAUAUGUGUAAGUAACUGUGCACAUCUUGACGGUACCUAAUCAGAAAGCCACGGCUAACUACGU